rnacentral:rRNA from 1 species
AGAGUUUGAUUAUGGCUCAGAACGAACGCUGGUGCGUGCUUAUACAUGCAAGUCGAGCGAGGCAGCAAUGCCUAGCGGCGAACGGGUGAGUAACGCGUAAGCAAUCUGCCCCAUAUCAGGAAUACCCGUGCCAACGCGCGGUUAAUGUCCAGGAGCGUGGCUUCCCGCAUGGGAGGUUGACAAGAGAUUUUAUCGGUAUGGGAUGAGCUUGCGUCCGAUUAGCUAGUUGGCGGGGCAACGGCCCACCAAGGCGACGAUCGGUAGCCGGCCUGAGAGGGUGAUCGGCCACAUUGGGACUGAGAUACGGCCCAGACUCCUACGGGAGGCAGCAGUAGGGAAUAUUGCACAAAUGGGGGAAACCCUGAUGCAGCAACGCCAACCGUGUGGGAAGAAGCAUUUCGGUGUGUAAACCACUUGUCGUGAGGGAAUAAACUCGCUUUACGGAGCGACUGAAUGUACCUCGAAAGGAAGCACCGGCAAACUUCGUGCCAGCCGCCGC